ACGCUGGCGGCGCGCUUACACAUGCAAGUCGAGCGAUGAAACCUUAACAGAACCCUUCGGGGCGAAGAUAAGACGGAUUAGCGGCGGACGGGUGAGUAACACGUGAGUAACCUGCCUUUUACACAGGGAUAGCCUCGGGAAACCGGGAUUAAAACCUGAUGAAACUAUCAAAUCACAUGAUUAAGAAAGUUAAAACUCCGGUGGUAAAAGAUGGACUCGCGUCCAUUAGCUAGUUGGUGAAGGUAACGGCCCACCAAGGCAACGAUGGGUAUCCGGCCUGAGAGGGUGAACGGCCACAUUGGAACUGAGAAACGGUCCAAACUCCUACGGGAGGCAGCAGUGGGGAAUAUUGCACAAUGGGGGAAACCCUGAUGCAGCGACGCCGCGUGAGCGAAGAAGGCCUUCGGGUCGUAAAGCUCUUUUAUAUGGGAAGAUAAUGACGGUACCAUAAGAAAAAGCCCCGGCUAACUACGUGCCAGCAGCCGCGGUAAUACGUAGGGGGCUAGCGUUGUCCGGAAUCACUGGGCGUAAAGGGUUCGCAGGCGGCAAUGCAAGUCAGAUGUAAAAGGCAAAGGCUCAACCUUUGUAAGCAUCUGAAACUGUAUAGCUUGAGAAGUGUAGAGGCAAGUGGAAUUUUUAGUGUAGCGGUGAAAUGCGUAGAUAUUAAAAAGAAUACCGGUGGCGAAGGCGACUUGCUGGGCACAAUCUGACGCUGAGGAACGAAAGCGUGGGGAGCAAACAGGAUUAGAUACCCUGGUAGUCCACGCCGUAAACGAUGAGUGCUAGUGUCGGUAUAAAUCGGUGCCGCAGUUAACACAAUAAGCACUCCGCCUGGGGAGUACGUGCGCAAGCAUGAAACUCAAAGGAAUUAACGGGGACCCGCACAAGCAGCGGAGCAUGGUGGUUU
rnacentral:rRNA from 1 species